CAGGGGCUCGCCUACUCUCCCUCUCGCCCAUGAAGUCAUCGCCACCGCCGCCGCCGCCCAUGUCGGCUGCUUCUGGCGCCUCCGGCGCAGCGCAGCACGCCCCAAGCUGCCCACGGUCGGCGCCUCCCUCCCCUCCAUCCAGACUCUCUGCUCCCGGCCUCUACAGCCCGCUCGCAACCACACACCCAUGGCUAGGGUUUCGGGCAUGGCUUCGCCGGCGCGUCUCAGGUGGUCCCAGGUUCGUCCUUCCUUCCUUCUUGGCCGAGAUUCGCUGCCCCUACACCUCGCCUUCUCUUCAAAUCCUCUGCUGGAGAUGCAGUUGGGGCACGCCAUGGGAGUUCCCCAUCCACCACGGUCGCCGCCGUCAAGGGAUUCUUCAAGGAGAUGUCAAGGACGCCAUGGACAUGCAGCUCCUCAAGGUUUUAUCCCUCCUUUCCUCUGAUAUCAAGUUCUAACAGUACAUUAAUCCAAGCAACUGUUUUCAGAUCAAUUAAGGAAUCAAUCUCAUGAUGGUUGAUGCUUGAUGCAGCGGAGGAUUGGGCCUCGCAUUAUUUUUUCCAGAAUUGGGUGUGGGUACUCUGAGUGAGCUAAAUCUGUGCAUCAAAAUUGUAGUCUGUAGCUUUAUGUGUUACGUCUUAAGAUUGAACUUGAAGAUUGCUUUUGGGAGUAGUUUUAGUUGGUAGAUGUUUCAGGCUCCAAAUACGCACACAUUAUGUGCUUAGUGUGUGGCAUAAACAUGAUCAGUUUUAUGCUUAGAAACCAAAUCACUGUCCACCCAUUUUAUUUCUUCAUGAGUAUUUUGUGUUGAAAUCAGAUCACCGUUCACCUGUUCUCGUACUGUUGUCUUUAACUUAUUUUGCCGGUUCUCAAUAAAAUGCUCAGUUCAGGAUGUGAUUUUCAGUUUUAGGGAUUUGAUACUUUUGGCACUGAGCAAAAAAAAAUUCCUCUGAGCGUGUACCUUCAAAUGCAAAGUUCUGACAAUGAUUUCGCAUGCGACCACACCGCCGUCGGUCGCUCUGCCUACCGAGUGCCACCCCGCCGCCUCCCCCACUCCCCCACCUGGGACCUCACCGCCCGCUCUAUCUAAUAUAUUUUCCAGUUUUCUUGCAGUCGCCAAUACAAAUGUCCGCUUGAGUGUCAAAAAGCAGCAGUCAUAAUGAAAAAAGAGUAUGGGUUCGUUGCUACAUUGUAGUAGUUAUGUACAUCUCAAAUUUUCAGCCCAGGAUUUUUAUUUUUACUAAUGUGAGUAUUUCUUAGUCACUCUUCAUCUUCCAGCUUUGACUGAAAAUAACUCUCCUGAAAACUGUUGGCAAUACUCACAAUGUGGUCUACAAAGAAACAUUUGAUGAUCUUGCUUGAUAACGUACCGGCGGGCAGAAAAUAUAUCAUUUCAUUAUUCAGGAUCGCAAGAGUCCAAUUGUUAUGUGGUUCAGGAAGCACCAAUUAUAAUACGAGUUAGACGGCUAUACAACUCAACUUAUCUACUGAAACAAGAUGCUUAGCGGAUCAACAAGAUGCUUACAGAUAUAGAACAGCAGGAGGGUGAAGUGUGGGUAUAACAUGGCAAAUGAUAGACCCGGUGAAGAAGGAAUGACAGUUGUGCGGAGGGUUAAGGGGUGUGGUUACAACGUGAACAUAAGAGAAAGACCCGGCCAAGUGGUCCAUUAGAAAAGGGCUGGAUAGAUUAUCAAACAAUGAGGGAAGCGAGGAAGAGCUCGGGAUGACGGCGUAAUGAUUAGCUGUCUUCAAGUAGAAGAUCCGGACAACCAUAAGGGCGUGCGAUUUUUUUUCCGAUGCAAUGCAUGGGCGCCACGACCGACCUCAACCUUCGGAUUUUACAGUACUGUAGUAUUCAUAGAAGUCUACUUUUUUGUUGUAUUCGUAGUAAAUUAUAGUUAAUUGAUGACUAACCUGUUGAAGGAUUUACUGUCCUAUAGCUUCUAUAAUUUACCGCACUAUAA